GACGAACGCUGGCGGCGUGCUUAACACAUGCAAGUCGAACGGAAAGGCCCUUCUUUUGUGGGGUGCUCGAGUGGCGAACGGGUGAGUAACACGUGAGUAACCUGCCCUUGACUUUGGGAUAACUUCAGGAAACUGGGGCUAAUACCGGAUAGGAGCUCCUGUUGCAUGGUGGGGGUUGGAAAGUUUCGGCGGUUGGGGAUGGACUCGCGGCUUAUCAGCUUGUUGGUGGGGUAGUGGCUUACCAAGGCUUUGACGGGUAGCCGGCCUGAGAGGGUGACCGGCCACAUUGGGACUGAGAUACGGCCCAGACUCCUACGGGAGGCAGCAGUGGGGAAUAUUGCACAAUGGGCGGAAGCCUGAUGCAGCAACGCCGCGUGCGGGAUGACGGCCUUCGGGUUGUAAACCGCUUUCGCCUGUGACGAAGCGUGAGUGACGGUAAUGGGUAAAGAAGCACCGGCUAACUACGUG
rnacentral:rRNA from 1 species